rnacentral:tRNA from 1 species
GCCUGGGUGGCUCAGUCAGUUGAGUGUCUGACUGCGGCUCAGGUCAUGAUCUCGCGGUUCGUGGGUUCGAGUCCCGCGUCAGGCU